rnacentral:rRNA from 1 species
CAGCAGCCGCGGUAAUACGGAGGGUGCGAGCGUUAAUCGGAAUUACUGGGCGUAAAGGGUGCGUAGGUGGUUAAUUAAGUUAUCUGUGAAAUUCCUGGGCUUAACCUGGGCGUGUCAGAUGAUACUGAUUGACUCGAGUAUGGGAGAGGGUAGUGGAAAUUCCGGUGUAGCGGUGAAAUGCGUAGAGAUCGGAAGGAACACCAGUGGCGAAGGCGGCUACCUGGCCUAAUACUGACACUGAGGCACGAAAGCGUGGGGAGCAAACAGGAUUAGAUACCCCCGUAGUCCCUGUCUCUUAUAU